rnacentral:misc_RNA from 1 species
AAGUCGUAACAAGGUUUCCGUAGGUGAACCUGCGGAAGGAUCAUUAACACGUAUCCAACGUUAAAACAACCCUGUGAACCUUCAAUCUUGCUCGCGUGGCUACAUGAAAGCAGCAAUCCCUGGUAAAUCAUUGUCGACCAGAUUUUGAGUCAGGGACCUCUGCCGAUGAGAGUUACGCUCGUACAAGCAAUCAGAGUUCUGAAAGCGUCUUUGAUUGUGUAAGGGUGGCGCAAACACGAUCGUUGGAGGCCGACACGGGGUCCCUGGGUCACCAUGCCCCUUAAUCACCACACUGUAACGCCGACAGGUCGCGAUAAUUCCGCUGACCACAAAAAACCGAACAACUGUUAACAAUGGAUAUCUUGGUUCUC